rnacentral:rRNA from 1 species
UACGUAGGGGGCAAGCGUUGUUCGGAAUUACUGGGCGUAAAGCGCACGUAGGCGGAUCAGUCAGUUAGAGGUGAAAGCCCAGGGCUCAACCCUGGAACUGCCUUUAAUACUGCUGGUCUGGAGUCCGAGAGAGGUGAGUGGAAUUCCGAGUGUAGAGGUGAAAUUCGUAGAUAUUCGCAAGAACACCAGUGGCGAAGGCGGCUCACUGGUCCGGUACUGACGCUGAGGUGCGAAAGCGUGGGGAGCAAACAGG